AGCCCCGCUGUCUGUGCUGUUCCCUUCCGGCCACCAGAACAAUCCCCAAAGCCCCCACCAUGCAGUUUGCCCUCAGUCUGGUUUCUAUCCUGAUCCUACUCCAAGAUGUCCAGGGUGAUGCCCAGCUGGUGGAGUCUGGGGGAGACAUGAGACAGCCCGGGGGGUCUCUGCGCCUCUCCUGUAAAGCCUCUGGAUUCACCUUCAGCAACUACUGGAUGAACUGGGUCCGCCAGGCUCCAGGGAAGGGGCUGGAGUGGGUCGCAGCUAUAAAUACAGGUGGGAGUAACACAUACUAUCCAGACUCAGUGAAAGGCCGAUUCACCAUCUCCAGGGACAACGCCAACAGCCUGGUGAAUCUGCAAAUGGACAGCCUGAAAACUGAGGACACUGUCCUGUAUUACUGUGCCAGAGAUACACAGUGA